rnacentral:tRNA from 1 species
GCGGGUGUGGUAUAACGGCUAUUACAUCGGUCUCCAAAACCGGUUACGCGGGUUCGACUCCCUCCACCCGUG